CAGUAGCCGCGGUAAUACGAGGGGUGCAAGCGUUAUUCGGAUUGAUUGGGUGUAAAGGGUGUGCAGACGGCUUAUUAAGUCACUUGUUAAAUUCUUCGGCCUAACUGAAGGUCUGCAAGUGAUACUGAUGAGCUAGAGGGUGGAAGAGAGAAGUGGAAUUCUCGGAGUAGCGGUAAAAUGCGUAGAUCUCGAGAGGAACACCAAUGGCGAAGGCAGCCAUCUGGGACAACACUGACGCUGAGGCACGAAAGCGUGGGGAGCAAACAGGAUUAGAUACCCGCGUAGUCCCUGUCUCUUAUAC
rnacentral:rRNA from 1 species